rnacentral:rRNA from 1 species
UACGUAGGGUGCAGGCGUUAAUCGGAAUUACUGGGCGUAAAGCGUGCGCAGGCGGUUCGUUGUGUCGGUGGUGAAAGCCCCGGGCUUAACCUGGGAAUGGCCAUGGAAACUGGCGAACUGGAGUGUGGCAGAGGGGGGUGGAAUUCCGCGUGUAGCAGUGAAAUGCGUAGAGAUGCGGAGGAACACCGAUGGCGAAGGCAGCCCCCUGGGCUAGCACUGACGCUCAGGCACGAAAGCGUGGGGAGCAAACAGG